AUCCAUUGAGGCAAAACCCACUCUCCUACUACUGGCUAUCAGUGCUCCUAUGGGCUUCACCACAGCUCCCAGCAUGGAGCAAGCCCCAGCGUGACAAGCUUCACCGCUGGCCGAGGGGCUUGACAGACGAGCAGACAGACAGACAGACAGCCCUCCACAUCACAGCAAAUUCUCCCAGCAAGGGGGAGUCUGCAUGCGAGUGGCUCAGCACUGGAUGUGAUCUGCAAUUCAGCCUUCAAAGGCUUUGUGGCUGUAGCACAUUGUCUCCUCAGCAGAAGCAGCAAAAUAAUGGUAGAAUUAAGUUCCCAGGAACAAUUAAAAAGAAAACAAGAAAAAACAUCCCAACUCUAAAUGUAAAAGGACAUCUCAAAGCCAGCAGAUUUCAGGGCUUUUUAAAGCAUCUGAAUCCAUUUGCCCGCCCCUGUGGCUGCACUGUGUUUCAUUUCACUGGGCUCAUACAAUGCAGGACACGAAAUUAACUUGGGUGUUUGUUUAGAGCCGGUUUGUCUUCCAGUUACUUUCCAAAGCCAGGUUUGAGUUGCAAAGAUGUUUCUUGGCAAUGCCUGGGGUUCUCACUGUCGGGAAGGUGCGGGGCUUUCCCCAGGGGAAACAGAGGCUCAGAAAUCACACACAACCUGGGGUCUCCUUGGAAGCAAGGCAAGAGGUGGAGCACAACCCAACUUGUCUGCAGUGAACAUGGGGUUUUCUGCUGUGAGCCUCCUCUCCCUUUUAUUUAUUCCAAAGAUAAACUGUUUUCUUUUCCAAAGUCCAGCAAAACCAGAUGACAGGAGCAGUUUUAUGGCUUCCAGUUUCAACAUCUUCAUGUUUCUUUUGCUUUCCCUCCAACAAAGCUUCAAUUUGGGGUCAAACCCAAUUUUGAUAUUCCACUUUGCAUUCAAAACUGCAUGGCACAAAGCAGUAACAUCUGGCCUUUCCCACAGUUGUUUGCAUACCACCAACUUUGCUGCCCCAAAAUCAGAUCCCCGCACGAUUUACAUGGGCUGGGCUUUGCAGCAGGCAAACAGUCACCCUCCAUCAGGUAACGGAGGUGGGAUUGUACCUGGAGGGAUCUUUUAAUCAACAAGAAAAGCAGAAGCCAGAGCACACCCUGAAUGACGAAGCUGCAUCCCGGCCCCCACACGGGUCAGUUCCCUGUGCCUGAAACCCUCAGCCUCCUCCAUCUCUGAACAGGAGGAAAGAGGGGGUGGAUUUGGUGAUGACCUUGCUAUGGCAGAGCCCUCAUGCUCGUAAACCACGAGGAGCAGGUGGCACAGCCAGCCAGGGAGGAAUGGAGAUGGCAGCAUUUCCUCCUGAUCACCAGCCAGGUAGGGAGCUCUGACCUUUGAACAGGAACCCACCCAGCACCUCUGUCAGAGGGGGUAUAUAAAAUGUCUGAGGACAUCACUUGCCCCCCCAAGAGGCAGCAGGUCCCCAGGACAGGUCUCCUCUCACAAAACCACCCAUCACAUGAGCUGCUUCCCAACAAGUCUCGUCAAGAUGCCAAGCAGAGCCGGCGGGCAAGUGCAGGGAAAUUCCCCACACGCGGCCAGGCGAGGCUGGCACCACAUCUCCCCUGCACCCAGCGCUGCCCUCCUGCACAGGGUGCCCGCAGAGGCCCCUCACCAGCCUUGCUCAGCACACCUGGAAGCUUUUUCCUGGCACAUGACCUGCCAGAUUUGCUGAAUAAACCUCCCAGCUCCGCUGCAUUCCUGGCCAGGCACAAGUCACUGGCCCACCUGGGCACUGACGGAGAGAGCAAAGAGAGCCCCAAAUUCCAAUGCUGCAGGUACUUUCUACCUUUGGAUUGGCACGAAGAUGCAGAGAAGCCCCCAGCACAGCCUGGUCUGCUUUGCCUAGGGGCCAUCUGCAGCCCCCACAGCAAUGCAUCCCGAAGAGAUGAAUCUCAGCGAGUCAAGGCUCAGACAAGCCACAUUCCAUGACCACCCCCUCAUUUCCAAAGGGAAGGAGAAGGGGGCAGGGAUUGCACUGCACCACCUGCAUCGGUUUAGUACCUCAUCCCAGCGAUCUGAAACACCAGCUGACCCCAGGUAACGCUCAGCCUUCCCAAAAACCACCAACAAUUCUCAUCCCUACAGAUCCCUGAUCCCCCCAGCCUGCUGGGGAAGGAAUGAGCUGUAUCCAGCCCUCCCUGACAGAGCUGCUGCCUUGUCUGUCCACAACUCCUAUCAUCGUGUGCCCUCACACCCCCAGCAUGUUCCCUCAUCACUCCUACCCAGAUUCCCCCAGAUCCACCUCACCCCACACUCUAAACCUGACCCCAAAGAAAGCUCCUGCACUGCCACCAGAUCCAGUAUAUCCCACUUCCCCUCCUACUCAUCAUCCCCAAAUCCUCACCUGCAUCAGACCUACUCUGAACCCCUCUCUACGCUGCUUCCAAGGCUCUGCUCUCUUGUUUCCCCCAAGAUUAUUCCCUGGAUUUCAACCACAGUAGGUCAGAGCCCUGCUCCUCUUUCUCUGGACCUCUCCUAUGAACAGCACCCGCACCCAGCACCCCAGAUCCUGCCUGUGGACUCAGCACCCGGAUCCAGCACCCGAGCAGACAGAACCACCAUUCCAAAUCCUGCUCGUGGACCCGGACCAAGACCCGGCACGCCAGAUCCAGCAACUCAACCCUGCCUGUGAAUUCAGCACCCGCACCCAGCGCCCCUAAACCUGCCUGCGGACCCAGCAGCUGGGAUCCAGCACCCCAAACCCUGCCUGCAGACCCAGACCCGAUCCUGAGCCAGCACCCAGGACCCACCGAGCGAUUCAAG